AUUGAACGCUGGCGGCAGGCCUAACACAUGCAAGUCGAGCGGAUGAAGGGAGCUUGCUCCUGGAUUCAGCGGCGGACGGGUGAGUAAUGCCUAGGAAUCUGCCUGGUAGUGGGGGAUAACGUCCGGAAACGGGCGCUAAUACCGCAUCCGUCCUGAGGGAGAAAGUGGGGGAUCUUCGGACCUCACGCUAUCAGAUGAGCCUAGGUCGGAUUAGCUAGUUGGUGGGGUAAAGGCCUACCAAGGCGACGAUCCGUAACUGGUCUGAGAGGAUGAUCAGUCACACUGGAACUGAGACACGGUCCAGACUCCUACGGGAGGCAGCAGUGGGGAAUAUUGGACAAUGGGCGAAAGACUGAUCCAGCCAUGCCGCGUGUGUGAAGAAGGUCUUCGGAUUGUAAAGCACUUUAAGUUGGGAGGAAGGGCAGUAAGUUAAUACCUUGCUGUUUUGACGUUACCAACAGAAUAAGCACCGGCUAACUUCGUG
rnacentral:rRNA from 1 species